rnacentral:rRNA from 1 species
UACAGAGGUCCCAAGCGUUUGUUCGGAUUUACUGGGCGUAAAGGGUGCGUAGGUGGUUGGGUAAGUUUGAUGUGAAAUCUCCGGGCUUAACCCGGAAAUGGCAUUGAAUACUAUUCGGCUAGAGGUUUGGAGGGGGGACUGGAAUUCUUGGUGUAGCAGUGAAAUGCGUAGAUAUCAAGAGGAACACCAGUGGCGAAGGCGAGUCCCUGGACAACACCUGACACUGAGGCACGAAAGCUAGGGGAGCAAACAGG